UACGAAGGGGACUAGCGUUGUUCGGAAUUACUGGGCGUAAAGCGCACGUAGGCGGAUCUUUAAGUCAGAGGUGAAAUCCUGGAGCUCAACUCCAGAACUGCCUUUGAUACUGAGGAUCUUGAGUAUGGGAGAGGUGAGUGGAACUGCGAGUGUAGAGGUGAAAUUCGUAGAUAUUCGCAAGAACACCAGUGGCGAAGGCGGCUCACUGGCCCAUUACUGACGCUGAGGCACGAAAGCGUGGGGAGCAAACAGG
rnacentral:rRNA from 1 species